GGGCCCGUAGCUCAGUCUGGUCAGAGCAGGCGACUCAUAAUCGCUUGGCCGUAGGUUCAAGUCCUACCGGGCCCA
rnacentral:tRNA from 1 species